UACGGAGGGUGCAAGCGUUAAUCGGAAUUACUGGGCGUAAAGCGCACGCAGGCGGUCUGUCAAGUCGGAUGUGAAAUCCCUGGGCUCAACCUGGGAACUGCAUCCGAAACUGGCAGGCUAGAGUCUUGUAGAGGGGGGUAGAAUUCCAGGUGUAGCGGUGAAAUGCGUAGAGAUCUGGAGGAAUACCGGUGGUGAAGGCGGCCCCCUGGACAAAGACUGACGCUCAGGUGUGAAAGCGUGGGGAGCAAACAGG
rnacentral:rRNA from 1 species